UUGCGUAGGCGUUUUGCGUAGG
rnacentral:miRNA from 1 species